AGUCGCUUCGGGGACUUCGUCCCGCGAAUGGAUCGCAGUAACAUGAAACCGUUAAUAACACGUACGAUAUCCGAGAAAUUCAAGUCCAAGAAUCGUACAAGAUUAUUGCCCACGGCCAAUCUCAGGUGUUCGUCCCUGCAUCGAAUGUCCAUUGUGAAAUGGAUAACGAAGGGUUGCUAACGAUUUAAACGAACCACCGUUUUUUUUAUUCGCCAACUUUAUUACAACUUGUUUUCUUUUAAUAAGAUAAAAAAAUUGGUUAAAUUGGAAAAAAAAUUUAUACACAUUGAACAAUCUUAAUUAAUAAGAUAACCAACAAAAUUAACUAUUAUUAUUUUUUUUUAAUCUGCUUGAACAAACCAAGUCGUAGGAAAAUGGAAGAAAAAUUAUAAGAAAGGAGGCCUGAAAAUUUGGAAUGAAGAAAUACAGGAGGCAAUUAACGAGAAGAAACAGGCAUAGACUAGAUAAUAGAAUAAUCCAGAAUAUAGAUAUAUAGAGAAAAACGGAAUUAGGCUAAACAGCUCACAAAAGAAGCACAUAGAGGAAACUCUGAAAGAUACAUCUCCAACAUCGAAGACGACGUCCAUGGUAGGCAGAAAUAUGCAUACAAAAUUCUCAAACAUCUGAAUCAGGAUGAGAAAGACUCAUCAUGGAUAAAUGUAAUAAGAAACACACAUCGCAUUCAUUGAUUACACUAAGACCUGUGUUAGGGUAAUAAGAAGCAAAUUCUGGUCAGUACUGGACAAAAGGGGCUUUACCAACAAAAUUUUAUGUAUAAUUAUAAUAAAUUUUCUCUUUCAUAACUUUCGAAUAAAUAGAUGUUCCUACCUCCA